UUGUCAUCUAAAUUAGUGUUCAACAUUUCUUAGUGUGUGAAUUUGUUAAUUUUUGUUAAUUUCUUAGGGUUCAAUGAUGGACGAAAAGUUAAUGAGAUUAGUUGAGUCUUGUAUACAAUGUAUGUGUGUUUUGAAUUUAGUUUGAUGAAAUUGAUUGAGUAUAUGAGUGUUUAUAUAUACUGGAAGCAUGCUAGUUUUGAUUUAGAGUUUAUGAAUGACAAUUGUUGGACUGGAAUCCUGUGCUGUUUUACAGCUGAUUAAAGCUUAUGUUUCGAUGAGUUUUCGUGGCUUGAUGGCAUUGAAAUUUUAGUAUGUGUAUCUAUGAUAUGUCUACUUUGUCUCUGCAAAAUUUCAUGUAUAUUGGAUGAUGUUUGCUAUUUUUAAGAUAUUUGGGAAAAAUGAUGACAGAAACUGUCAACUGUUGGUAGGCUUCACCAAAACAUUUAUAUCUCUUAAACCAUGAGGGAUUUUGUAUCACCGUUUUUUUUUAAACGAAAAUAGACUAAAAUACCUUUCUAAAAAAAUAAGUCUUAUAUUUUUAUGACCUCUGAAACAGAUCAGUUUAUUCAUUCAAAAAAGCUCUGUUUUGCUGUCAUAUUUUUUCAACAGUAAAAGUAUCUGAGUUUCAUAGUCUAUUAGGUAGAUCAUAUAAACGAAUUUCCUUUUGAAAAUUUUACCAAAUCUUCUUGGAUAUCUUUGGUAUAGGCUGAUUAAGUUUGAUGAAUUUUUGUAAAGGUUUGCUUUGUUUUCAGAUGGCCUAAACAAUAUUGGCAGAAACUGUCAAUUUUUGACAGCCUGCACUAAAGGAGUAAUAUCUCUAAAACCUUUAAUCUUUUUGGUUAACUAUCACUUUUGGAGUAAACUACACUUCAUGAAGUUUUUGAAAUAAAAUGGUAUGAAAUUUUAUGUUAAUUGAGUUUGUUGUUAUGAAUUUUUGAAGAUGGCACAAAAACAGCACACUUUCUAGAUAACAACUUGAUCAUAUUAUACACACUUUAACUAAGUAUGGAAAAUGUUGUCAAGACAUGAAUGUGUUAGCUUUAUUAAUGUUGGAGGUUAUGAUCGUGCAUAUGUGUAUGUAUGAUUUUCUAAGUCUCGAAUUUUGUGGAUGAUACAAUAUGGUUGAUUGUUUAUGUGAUUAAAUGGUGUGAAUUGUGAGAGUUAUGAUUAAUGCAGCUACCUACCGCGAUGAGUUAAAGGAAAUUGCUCCCUAUACUCUUUUGAAGUGCUCGAGUGACGCUACAACCUUGAGAAUUAGAGUCCAAGUAAGGAGUGUGUACAUUGCAGGUAGAAGCCAUCAAAAGGCCUUUACUUUUAUGCAUAUAGGAUCAGAAUCACCAACCUAUCCGAUCGCCCGGUGCAACUUCUUAGACGUCAUUGGAUCAUAACUGAUGCUAAUGGAAGAACUGAGACAGUCCAGAAGGUGACUAUGAGAUGAAGCACAUAGAUGAAGCACAUUUGGAGAUGAUAUUAGUGUAGAGAUUAUCCAACUCAUAUGCAGCUUCUAGUUGUAGAGAUUAUGAUGUUAUUUAGAUAUAUUUGACACUUUGAUUAUGGAUGGAUAAAGUUAUUUGGAUGAUUAAAUAUUUAUAUAUGUUUUGGUUGUGGAA